AAUUGGAGGGCAAGUCUGGUGCCAGCAGCCGCGGUAAUUCCAGCUCCAAUAGCGUAUAUUAAAGUUGUUGCAGUUAAAAAGCUCGUAGUUGAAUUUCGGGAUUGACGUGAUGGUCGUGCCUUAAGGGGUAUGAACUGUUGCUGUUGAUUUCUCACCUUCUGGAGAAACUUGAUGUCCUUAAUUGGGUGUCUUGCGGAUCCAGGACCUUUACCUUGAAAAAAUUAGAGUGUUUAGAGCAGGCAUUUUGCUCGAAUACAUUAGCAUGGAAUAAUAGAAUAGGACGGCAUGGUUCUAUUUUGUUGGUUUCUAGGAUCACCGUAAUGAUUAAUAGGGAUAGUUGGGGGCAUUAGUAUUCAAUUGUCAGAGGUGAAAUUCUUGGAUUUAUUGAAGACUAACUACUGCGAAAGCAUUUGCCAAGGAUGUUUUCAUUAAUCAAGAACGAAAGUUAGGGGAUCGAAGACGAUCAGAUACCGUCGUAGUCUUAACCAUAAACUAUGCCGGCUAGGAAUCAGACGAUGUUAAUUUUUUAAUGACUCGUUUGGCACCUUACGGGAAACCAAAGUGU
rnacentral:rRNA from 1 species